rnacentral:rRNA from 1 species
GACGAACGCUGGCGGCGCGCCUAACACAUGCAAGUCGAACGGAGAUACCUAAAAGAUCCCUUCGGGGUGAUUUUGGACUAUCUUAGUGGCGGACGGGUGAGUAACACGUGAGCAACCUGCCUUACAGAGGGGGAUAACAUCUGGAAACGGAUGCUAAUACCGCAUAACAUUUUAAAACCGCAUGGUUUUGAGAUCAAAGAUUUAUCGCUGUAAGAUGGGCUCGCGUCCGAUUAGCUAGUUGGUGAGGUAACGGCCCACCAAGGCGACGAUCGGUAGCCGGACUGAGAGGUUGAACGGCCACAUUGGGACUGAGACACGGCCCAGACUCCUACGGGAGGCAGCAGUGGGGGAUAUUGCACAAUGGGGGAAACCCUGAUGCAGCGACGCCGCGUGAGGGAAGAAGGUUUUCGGAUUGUAAACCUCUGUCCCCGGUGAAGAUAAUGACGGUAACCGGGGAGGAAGCCACGGCUAACUACGUGCCAGCCGCCGCCGUAACAC